GUCAACACUCAACAUCCGUGAACAUUCCAUCCGGGAAGAGAAUUCAACGAGGAAUGUUAAUAUUAUUGAUCUUCCCGGUCAAGAUAAAGAUAACUCUUAUUUCGAUAUGUGUGUCCGGCUGGAUCGCCCUUUCAUCCACACAUGCCAUGAUGGUAGCUGGGUUCUGCCCCAAGGGAAGAAUAUACGGACAAGGUGAAACGGGGUUCACUAGAAUACAAUAAUGAUUUUCCGAUCAGGCGGAAAAUUAUCCUAACAGCGCAAUAUCGAUGACGGUGAGCUAAUGGAAGAACUUGUAAUAGACAGAAGAUUGACGAACUGAACAAAGAAAAUGUUAAAAUUAUGUUCCGGAAAUAUGGG